UACGUAGGGCGCAAGCGUUGUCCGGAAUCAUUGGGCGUAAAGAGCUCGUAGGCGGCCUGUUGCGUCCGCUGUGAAAUCCCGGGGCUUAACCCCGGGCGUGCAGUGGAUACGGGCUGGCUGGAGGCAGGCAGGGGAGAACGGAAUUCCUGGUGUAGCGGUGAAAUGCGCAGAUAUCAGGAGGAACACCGGUGGCGAAGGCGGUGGUCUGGGCCGGCACUGACGCUGAGGAGCGAAAGCGUGGGUAGCAAACAGG
rnacentral:rRNA from 1 species